rnacentral:rRNA from 1 species
AACAAACGCUGGCGGCGUGCCUAACACAUGCAAGUCGUACGAGAAAGUCGGCUUCGGCCGAUGAGUACAGUGGCGCACGGGUGAGUAGCGCGUGGGUAAUCUGCCCCCCGGUCAGGAAUAACCCGCCGAAAGGCGGGCUAAUACCCGAUAACACUGACGCUCUGCGGAGUGUCUUUCAAAGUAGGCCUCUGUUUACAAGCUUUCGCCGGAGGAUGAGCCCGCGUACCAUUAGCUAGUUGGCAGGGUAAUGGCCUACCAAGGCAACGAUGGUUAGCUGGUCUGAGAGGAUGGCCAGCCACACUGGAACGGAGACACGGUCCAGACUCCUACGGGAGGCAGCAGUGAGGAAUCUUGCGCAAUGGGGGAAACCCUGACGCAGCAACGCCGCGUGAGUGAAGAAGGCUUUCGGGUCGUAAAGCCCUGUCAGAUGGGAAGAGAUGGAUGGGGGCUAAUAUCGUCCAUCCUUGACGGUACCAUCAGAGGAAGCACCGGCUAACUCCGUGCCAGCCGCCGCGGUAAUAC